rnacentral:rRNA from 1 species
UACAGAGGGUGCAAGCGUUGUUCGGAAUUAUUGGGCGUAAAGGGCGCGUAGGCGGUGCGGUAAGUCACCUGUGAAACCUCUGGGCUUAACUCAGAGCCUGCAGGCGAAACUGCCGUGCUUGAGUGUGGGAGAGGUGCGUGGAAUUCCCGGUGUAGUGGUGGAAUGCGUAGAUAUCGGGAGGAACACCAGUGGCGAAGGCGGUUGCCUGGAGCUUUGCUGACGCUGAUGCGCGAAAGCGUGGGGAGCGAUCCGG